CAAGAGAUAGUUUAAAGUAAAACCGCAGCUUUGGGAGUUGCAGACGUAAGUGCGAACCUUAUUCUCUUGA
rnacentral:tRNA from 1 species